rnacentral:lncRNA from 1 species
AGACUCCAGAAUUUGUUUGCCCUCUAGGGUAGAAUCCGCCAAGCUUUGAGAGAAGGCUGUGACUGCUGUGCUCUGGGCGCCAGCUCGCUCCAGGGAGUGAUGGGAAUCCUGUCAUUCUUACCUGUCCUUGCCACUGAGAGUGACUGGGCUGACUGCAAGUCCCCCCAGCCUUGGGGUCAUAUGCUUCUGUGGACAGCUGUGCUAUUCCUGGCUCCUGUUGCUGGGACACCUGCUCCCCCAAAGGCUGUGCUGAAACUCGAGCCCUAGUGGAUCAACGUGCUCCAAGAGGACUCUGUGACUCUGACAUGCCGGGGGACUCACAGCCCUGAGAGCGACUCCAUUCCGUGGUUCCACAAUGGGAAUCUCAUUCCCACCCACACGCAGCCCAGCUACAGGUUCAAGGCCAACAACAAUGACAGCGGGGAGUACACGUGCCAGACUGGCCAGACCAGCCUCAGCGACCCUGUGCAUCUGACUGUGCUUUCUGGUCAGUGGAGGAAGGCCCCAGGGUGGACCUGGGAGGGCCAGGAUGGAUGAAAUCUGCUUUCAGGCAG